UACGUAGGGAGCAAGCGUUGUCCGGAAUCAUUGGGCGUAAAGCGCGUGUAGGCGGUCCGGUAAGUCCGCUGUGAAAGUCGAGGGCUCAACCCUCGAAUGCCGGUGGAUACUGUCGGGCUUGAGUACGGGAGAGGCGAGUGGAAUUCCUGGUGUAGCGGUGAAAUGCGCAGAUAUCAGGAGGAACACCGAUUGCGAAGGCAGCUCGCUGGAACGUUACUGACGCUGAGACGCGAAAGCGUGGGGAGCAAACAGG
rnacentral:rRNA from 1 species